GACGAACGCUGGCGGCGUGCUUAACACAUGCAAGUCGAACGGAAAGGCCUUUUCGGAGGUACUCGAGUGGCGAACGGGUGAGUAACACGUGGGUGAUCUGCCCUGCACUCUGGGAUAAGCCUGGGAAACUGGGUCUAAUACCGGAUAGGACCGCACUUUAGUGUGUGUGGUGGAAAGUUUUUUCGGUGUAGGAUGAGCCCGCGGCCUAUCAGCUUGUUGGUGGGGUAAUGGCCUACCAAGGCGGCGACGGGUAGCCGGACUGAGAGGUUGGUCGGCCACAUUGGGACUGAGAUACGGCCCAGACUCCUACGGGAGGCAGAAGUGGGGAAGAUUGCACAAUGGGCGCAAGCCUGAUGCAGCGACGCCGCGUGGGGGAUGACGGCCUUCGGGUUGUAAACUCCUUUCGCCAGGGACGAAGCGUUUUGUGACGGUACCUGGAGAAGAAGCACCGGCUAACUACGUG
rnacentral:rRNA from 1 species